rnacentral:ncRNA from 1 species
AUCGGUUCGCUGAAAGGCGAUCAAAAGGGAAUCGGGUGUAAAUCCCGAACAGUCCCGCUGCUGUAAGUGGUUUCACGAGUGAACAUUACGUCACUGAUGUUUUUGGGAAGACGUUCACUCCCUUGACCAUAAGUCAGAAUACCUGCCAUUGCUUCCU